rnacentral:rRNA from 1 species
GAUGAACGCUGGCGGCGUGCCUAAUACAUGCAAGUCGAGCGAACAGAUGAGGAGCUUGCUCCUCUGACGUUAGCGGCGGACGGGUGAGUAACACGUGGAUAACCUACCUAUAAGACUGGGGUAACUUCGGGAAACCGGAGCUAAUACCGGAUAAUAUAUUGAACCGCAUGGUUCAAUAGUGAAAGACGGUUUUGCUGUCACUUAUAGAUGGAUCCGCGCCGCAUUAGCUAGUUGGUAAGGUAACGGCUUACCAAGGCAACGAUGCGUAGCCGACCUGAGAGGGUGAUCGGCCACACUGGAACUGAGACACGGUCCAGACUCCUACGGGAGGCAGCAGUAGGGAAUAUUCCGCAAUGGGCGAAAGCCUGACGGAGCAACGCCGCGUGAGUGAUGAAGGUCUUCGGAUCGUAAAACUCUGUUAUUAGGGAAGAACAAAUGUGUAAGUAACUAUGCACGUCUUGACGGUACCUAAUCAGAAAGCCACGGCUAACUACGUG